rnacentral:rRNA from 1 species
GACGAACCGUGCGACCGUUAUUCGGAAUCACUGGGCUUAAAGCGCGUGUAGGCGGGCCGCCGCGUCGGCUGCUGAAAUCCCCCGGCUCAACCGGGGAACGGGCACCGAUACGGGCGGCCUCGAGGGGGGUAGGGGGACCUGGAACUUCCGGUGGAGCGGUGAAAUGCGUUGAGAUCGGAAGGAACGCCCGUGGCGAAAGCGAGGUCCUGGACCCUUUCUGACGCUGAGACGCGAAAGCCAGGGGAGCGAACGGG